rnacentral:rRNA from 1 species
CAAUAGCGUAUAUUAAAGUUGUUGCGGUUAAAAAGCUCGUAGUUGGAUUUCUGCUGAGGACGACCGGUCCGCCCUCCGGGUGAGCAUCUGGUUCGGCCUUGGCAUCUUCUUGGUGAACGUAUCUGCACUUGACUGUGUGGUGCGGUACCCAGGACUUUUACUUUGAGGAAAUUAGAGUGUUUCAAGCAGGCAUACGCCUUGAAUACAUUAGCAUGGAAUAAUAAGAUAGGACCUUGGUCUAUUUUGUUGGUUUACAUUCCAAGGUAAUGAUUAAUAGGGAUAGUUGGGGGUAUUCGUAUUCAAUUGUCAGAGGUGAAAUUCUUGGAUUUAUGGAAGACGAACCACUGCGAAAGCAUUUGCCAGGGAUGUUUUCACUGAUCAAGAACGAAAGUUAGGGGAUCGAAGAUGAUUAGAU